CCUACGGGAGGCAGCAGUGAGGAAUAUUGGUCAAUGGACGCGAGUCUGAACCAGCCAAGUAGCGUGGAGGAUGACUGCCCUAUGGGUUGUAAACUUCUUUUAUAAAGGAAUAAAACGAGGCACGUGUGCCUUUUUGCAUGUACUUUAUGAAUAAGGAUCGGCUAACUCCGUGCCAGCAGCCGCGGUAAUACGGAGGAUCCGAGCGUUAUCCGGAUUUAUUGGGUUUAAAGGGAGCGUAGAUGGGUUGUUAAGUCAGUUGUGAAAGUUUGCGGCUCAACCGUAAAAUUGCAAUUGAUACUGGCAGUCUUGAGUACAGUUGAGGGAGGCGGAAUUCGUGGUGUAGCGGUGAAAUGCUUAGAUAUCACGAAGAACCCCGAUUGCGAAGGCAGCUUACUAAACUGUGACUGACAUUGAUGCUCGAAAGUGUGGGUAGCAAACAGGAUUAGAUACCCUUGUAGUC
rnacentral:rRNA from 1 species